rnacentral:rRNA from 1 species
CCUACGGGUGGCAGCAGUGAGGAAUAUUGGUCAAUGGGCGAGAGCCUGAACCAGCCAAGUCGCGUGAGGGAAGACGGUCCUAUGGAUUGUAAACCUCUUUUGUCGGGGAGCAAAAAGGCCUCGUGAGUCCACAAGUGAGAGUACCCGAAGAACAAGCAUCGGCUAACUCCGUGCCAGCAGCCGCGGUAAUACGGAGGAUGCGAGCGUUAUCCGGAUUUAUUGGGUUAAAGGGGUGGGUAGGCGGACUGGAAAGUCAGCGGUAAAAGCGGGAGGCUAAACCGCUUUCCGCCGUUGAAACUGUCGGGCUUGAGUGGGCGAGAGGUAUGCGGAAUGCGUGGUGUAGCGGUGAAAUGCAUAGAUAUCACGCAGAACUCCGAUUGCGAAGGCAGCAUACCGGCGCCCGACUGACGCUGAGGCACGAAAGCGUGGGUAUCGAACAGGAUUAGAUACCCUAGUAGUC